UCAGUCGACUCCUACGGGGAGCAGCAGUGGGAAUAUUGCGCAAUGGGGGCAACCCUGACGCAGCCAUGCCGCGUGAAUGAAGAAGGCCUUCGGGUUGUAAAGUUCUUUCGGUGAUGAGGAAGGGAGUUAUGUUAAUAGCAUAAUUCAUUGACGUUAGUCACAGAAGAAGCACCGGCUAACUCCGUGCCAGCAGCCGCGGUAAUACGGAGGGUGCGAGCGUUAAUCGGAAUAACUGGGCGUAAAGGGGCACGCAGGCGGUGACUUAAGUGAGGUGUGAAAUCCCCGGGCUUAACCUGGGAAUUGCAUUUCAGACUGGGUCGCUAGAGUACUUUAGGGAGGGGUAGAAUUCCACGUGUAGCGGUGAAAUGCGUAGAGAUGUGGAGGAAUACCGAAGGCGAAGGCAGCCCUUGGAAUGUACUGACGCUCAUGUGCGAAAGCGUGGGGAGCAAACAGGAUUAGAUACCCUGGUAG
rnacentral:rRNA from 1 species